AGGACGAACGCUGGCGGCGUGCCUAAUGCAUGCAAGUCGCACGCACGGAGCUUGCUCCGUGAGUGGCGCACGGCUGAGGAUCACGUGGGAACAUGCCUCCUUGUGGGGGACAACACCGCGAAAGCGGUGCUAAUCCCGCAUACGCUCGGCAACGAGGAAAGCGUGCAAACGCGCAGGGAGAGUGGCCCGCGGCCCAUCAGGUUGUUGGUGGGGUAAUGGCCUACCAAGCCAAUGACGGGUAGCGUGGUCUGUGAGGACAGACAGCCAGACUGGGACUGAGACACGGCCCAGACUCCGUACGGGAGCAGCAGCAAGGAAUUUUCGCAAGUGGGCGCAAGCCUAGAACGAGACAACCGCCGCGUGGAGGAUGACGGCCUUCGGGUUCGUAAACUUCCGUUUUCGGGACGAGUAAGUGACGGUACCCGGAAUAAGGCCUACGGCUAAC
rnacentral:rRNA from 1 species